rnacentral:rRNA from 1 species
CGCGCAGGCGGGUUGGCAAGUCAGAGGUGAAAUCCUGCAGCUUAACUGCAGAACUGCCUUUGAUACUGCUGAUCUUGAGUACGGAAGAGAGAGACGGAAUUCCAGGUGUAGUGGUGAAGUACGUAGAUAUCUGGAAGAACACCAGUUGCGUAGGCGGUCUCUUGGUCCGUUACUGACGCUCAGGCGCGAAAGCGGUGGGGAGCAAACA